UAGCCAUGAUGUGGGCAAGAGUUUAAUAAAGCCUUGAAUCUUUCCCAAGUUUAAAAAAAUGUUUCAUUUUCUUCGUGGUAAAAAUUUACAAUUUGUCGUUGAAGAGCAA